UACGUAGGUGGCAAGCGUUGUCCGGAAUUAUUGGGCGUAAAGCGCGCGCAGGUGGUUUCUUAAGUCUGAUGUGAAAGCCCACGGCUCAACCGUGGAGGGUCAUUGGAAACUGGGGAACUUGAGUGCAGAAGAGGAAAGUGGAAUUCCAAGUGUAGCGGUGAAAUGCGUAGAGAUUUGGAGGAACACCAGUAGCGAAGGCGACUUUCUGGUCUGUAACUGACACUGAGGCGCGAAAGCGUGGGGAGCAAACAGG
rnacentral:rRNA from 1 species